rnacentral:tRNA from 1 species
GGACCAUUAGCUCAACGGUUAGAGCAGUCGGCCCAUAACCGAUUGGUUUGAGGUUCAAAUCCUUAAUGGUCCACCA